UACGUAGGGUGCAAGCGUUGUCCGGAAUUAUUGGGCGUAAAGAGCUCGUAGGCGGUUUGUCGCGUCGGCUGUGAAAACCUAGGGCUCAACUCUGGGCUUGCAGCCGAUACGGGCAAACUAGAAUUCGGUAGGGGAGACUGGAAUUCCCGGUGUAGCGGUGAAAUGCGCAGAUAUCGGGAAGAACACCUAUGGCGAAGGCAGCUCUCUGGGACGGUACUGACGCUGAGACGCGAAAGCGUGGGGAGCGAACAGG
rnacentral:rRNA from 1 species